UAAACGACUCUCGGCAACGGAUAUCUCGGCUCACGCAUCGAUGAAGAACGUAGCAAAAUGCGAUACUUGGUGUGAAUUGCAGAAUCCCGUGAACCAUCGAGUUUUUGAACGCAAGUUGCGCCCGAAGCCAUUUGGCCGAGGGCACGUCUGCCUGGGCGUCACGC
rnacentral:rRNA from 11 species